UAGCAUAUCAAUAAGCGGAGGAAAAGAAACUAACAAGGAUUCCCCUAGUAACUGCGAGUGAAGCGGGAAGAGCUCAAAUUUAAAAUCUGGCGGCCUUGCCGUCCGAGUUGUAAUUUAGAGAAGCGUUUUCCGCGUCGGACCGUGUACAAGUCUCCUGGAACGGAGCGUCAUAGAGGGUGAGAAUCCCGUCUUUGACACGGACCCCCGGUGCUCUGUGAUACGCUCUCGAAGAGUCGAGUUGUUUGGGAAUGCAGCUCAAAAUGGGUGGUGAACUCCAUCUAAAGCUAAAUAUUGGCGAGAGACCGAUAGCGAACAAGUACCGUGAGGGAAAGAUGAAAAGCACUUUGGAAAGAGAGUGAAACAGUACGUGAAAUUGCUGAAAGGGAAACGCUUGAAGUCAGUCGCGUCCGCCGGAAUUCAGCCUUCAUGGUGUACUUUCUGACGGACGGGCCAGCAUCACUUUUGAUCGCCGGAAAAGGGCAGAGGGAAUGUGGCACCUCCGGGUGUGUUAUAGCCCUCUGUCGUAUACGGUGGUUGGGAGUGAGGACCGCCUAUCUUUGUAGGAUGCUGGCGUAAUGGCUUUAAACGACCCGUCUUGAAACACGGACCAAGGAGUCUAACAUGCCCGCGAGUGUUCGGGUGGAAAACCCGUGCGCGUAAUGAAAGUGAAAGUUGGGAAGGCUGUCAUGGCCUGCACCGACGCCCGGACCUGAGAUUUAUCAAAGGUUCUGCGGUAGAGCGUGUAUGUUGGGACCCGAAAGAUGGUGAACUAUGCCUGAAUAGGGUGAAGCCAGAGGAAACUCUGGUGGAGGCUCGUAGCGAUUCUGACGUGCAAAUCGAUCGUCAAAUUUGGGUAUAGGGGCGAAAGACUAAUCGAACCAUCUAGUAGCUGGUUCCUGCCGAU
rnacentral:rRNA from 1 species